GGGUCGUUAGCUAUUUUAACCAAUUGGUCGUAGGUUCGAAUCCUACACGACCCACCA
rnacentral:tRNA from 1 species